CCUACGGGUGGCAGCAGUGGGGAAUUGUUCGCAAUGGGCGCAAGCCUGACGACGCAACGCCGCGUGGAGGAUGAAGGUCUUCGGAUUGUAAACUCCUGUUGCCCGGGACGAAUGGCUCCAACCUAAUACGUUGGAGUGUGACGGUACCGGGUGAGGAAGCCCCGGCUAACUCUGUGCCAGCAGCCGCGGUAAUACAGAGGGGGCAAGCGUUGUUCGGAAUUACUGGGCGUAAAGGGCGCGUAGGCGGCCUGUUAAGUCGAACGUGAAAUCCCCGGGCUCAACCCGGGAACUGCGUCCGAUACUGGCAGGCUUGAAUCCGGGAGAGGGAUGCGGAAUUCCAGGUGUAGCGGUGAAAUGCGUAGAUAUCUGGAGGAACACCGGUGGCGAAGGCGGCAUCCUGGACCGGCAUUGACGCUGAGGCGCGAAAGCCAGGGGAGCAA
rnacentral:rRNA from 1 species